UGCACUUGGUCGCUCAAUGAC
rnacentral:miRNA from 1 species